rnacentral:rRNA from 1 species
CUUUAACUCCGGUUGAUUCUGCCGGAGGUCACUGCUAUUGGGAUUCGGCUAAGCCAUGCAAGCGGAGGGCGCGGUCGAAAGAUCGUGGCCCCGCACACUGCUCAGUAACACGUAGUCAACCUACCCUUGGGACGGGGACAACCUCGGGAAACUGAGGCUAAUACCCGAUAGGUGAGGGACGCUGGGAUGCCUCCUCGCCCAAAGCUCCGGCGCCCAAGGAUGGGACUGCGGUCUAUCAGGCUGUUGGUGGUGUAACGGACCACCAAACCUACGACGGGUACGGGCGAUGGGAGUCGGAGCCCGGAGAUGGGGACUGAGACAAGGCCCCAGGCCCUACGGGGCGCAGCAGGCGCGAAAACUCCGCAAUGCGCGCAAGCGUGACGGGGGGAUCCCAAGUGCCGUUGGUCUUUCGAUCGACGGUUUUUAGGAAGUCUAAGAAGCUUCCAGAAUAAGGGCUGGGCAAGACUGGUGCCAGCCGCCGCGGUAACACCAGCAGCCCGAGUGGUGGCCACGAUUAUUGGGCCUAAAGCGCUCGUAGCCGGAUCAGCAAGUCCCUUGUGAAAUCGGGCCGCCUAACGGUUCGGCGUGCAAGGGAUACUGUUGGUCUUGAGGCCGGGAGAGGUCGGAGGUACUCCUGGGGUAGCGGUGAAAUGCUCUAAUCCUAGGGGGACCACCAGUGGCGAAGGCGUCCGACCAGAACGGACCUGACGGUGAGGGGCGAAGGCUAGGGGAGCGAACGGGAUUAGAUACCCCGGUAGUCCUAGCUGUAAAGCAUGCGGGCCAGGUGUCUAGCGCUCCUUGAGGGCGCUAGGUGCCGGAGGGAAGCCGUUAAGCCCGCCGCCUGGGAAGUACGGCCGCAAGGCUGAAACUUAAAGAAAUUGGCGGGGGAGCACCACAAGAGGUGGGACCUGCGGUUCAAUUGGAUUCAACGCCGGAAAACUCACCAGGGGCGACAGUUGGAUGAAAGCCAGGUUGACGAUCUUGCCCGACUAGCUGAGAGGUGGUGCAUGGCCAUCGUCAGCUCGUACCGUGAGGCGUCCUGUUAAGUCAGGCAACGAGCGAGAUCCUCGCCCUUAGUUGCCAUCGGUGGAAAGCCGGGCACUCUAGGGGGACCGCUGGCGCUAAGUCAGAGGAAGGAGAGGGCGACGGUAGGUCAGUAUGCCCCGAAUCCCCUGGGCUACACGCGGGUCACAAUGCGCAGGACAAUGAGAUGCAACCCCGUAAGGGGAAGCCAAACCCUUAAACCUGCGCUCGGUUCGGAUCGAGGGCUGUAACUCGCCCUCGUGAAGCUGGAAUCUCUAGUAAUCGCGUGCCAACACCGCGCGGUGAAUACGUCCCUGCUCCUUGCACACACCGCCCGUCAAGCCACUCGAGUGGGGUUUGGAUGAGGUCAGCUCAAGUUGGGCUGCUCGAAUCCGAGUUCUGCAAGAGGGGCUAAGUCGUAACUCUAGGAGGUCACCCCUCUUAGGGCGAUAAACAAGGUAGCCGUAGGGGAACCUGCGGCUCGAUCACCUCCU